rnacentral:rRNA from 1 species
GAUGAACGCUGGCGGCGUGCCUAACACAUGCAAGUCGAACGAACCCUUCGGGGUUAGUGGCGGACGGGUGAGUAACACGCGGGAACGUGCCUUUCGGUUCGGAAUAACUCAGGGAAACUUGUGCUAAUACCGAAUGUGCCCUUCGGGGGAAAGAUUUAUCGCCUUUAGAGCGGCCCGCGUCUUAUUAGCUAGUUGGUGAGGUAAUGGCUCACCAAGGCUACGAUCAGUAGCUGGUCUGAGAGGAUGACCAGCCACAUUGGGACUGAGACACGGCCCAAACUCCUACGGGAGGCAGCAGUGGGGAAUCUUGCGCAAUGGGCGAAAGCCUGACGCAGCCAUGCCGCGUGGAUGAUGAAGGUCUUAGGAUUGUAAAAUCCUUUCACCGGUGAAGGUAAUGACUGUAGCCGGAGAAGAAGCCCCGGCUAACUUCGUGCCAGCCGCCGCGGUAA